UGUAGGUGAGACUCUUUCAUCAGUCAUAAACUGUAUGGCAGACAACAGCAAAGAGAAAAAUAACAAUGUACCAGAGAAACUAUGUAAUGAUCAAGGCUCUAAUGCUUUGCCUGCUGUGAAAAACAACAGAGUACAAAGUGCAGGUGACAAGAAAAAAUAUGAAAUGAACAAUCCAGAGGCAGUACCACUAAAAAGCAUAAGAAAUGCAGUCAACUCGAAACAAAAAAAAAGAAUUAGCUGACAGAAAUGUAAAGAAAAGUAAAAAAUAAUGACAGCCAUCCAUACCUGGCUCAGACAAAGUUGUGAAUAGUGAUUCUUUAGAUGGCAAUAACUGUCUAUAUAAUAAAUUUGAAAACCCAAUUCAUUUUACAAAUUCAGAAAGGAGAGUUCUAAAGAGUAGAAACAAACACAUCAGUGAACAAAAUGAAUGUUAUAAUGCCAUAAUAUAUGAGAACAAGAAUGAUGGUGUUGGUAAAAAUGAAGUUUCUUGUAGUAUUCAAUCAAGUAAUAACAUAAAUUAUGGAAAAUUAAAGCCAAAUACUACAGUCUCAGUACCAGGCAAAGAUAGUAAAGAAUCCACCAAUGAUGAAAACAGUAAGUGCACCACCAAGAAAACUGAAAAUAUGAAAACAAGUGCUAUGAGAAAUGAUUUUACAGAUUUUAUCAGAAAACUCCCACAUACCCUGAAGCAGAUGAAGAAACUGGCCAAAAUAGACAAAACUCUAUCACAAAAUAAAAAAAUUUGGACGUAGUUGAUGAAAAUAG